GAGCAUCACUGGUAUGAAGUCUCUUAAAACCAUUCGUCUUUCCGGUUGCUCAAGCCUUGAGAAGUUUUCCUGAGAUUUCAGAUGUUAUGGAGAAGCUAUCAGAGUUAUAUUUAGGUGGGACUGCAAUUAAAGAACUGCCUUCAUCAAUUAAUAAACUCACGGGCCUUGCUACUUUGGACCUACGAGGCUGUCGAGAACUCAAGAGCCUGCCGAGCAGCAUUCAUAUGGGAUCUCUUCAAACCUUUAAUCUUUCUGGUUGCUCAAACCUUGAGAUGUUUCCAGUGAUUUCAGAAGUUAUGGAGGAGCUAUCAGAGCUUCAUUUAGAUGGGAUUGCAAUUAAAGAACUGCCUUCGUCAAUUAAUAAACUCACGGGCCUUACUGUUUUGGACCUAUCUGGGUGUCAAGAACUCAAGAGCCUGCCGAGCAGCAUUCAUAUGAGAUCUCUUCAAACCCUUAAUCUUUCUGGUUGCUCAAACCUUGAGAAGUUUCCUGAGAUUUCAGAUGUUAUGGAGAAGCUAUCAGAGUUAUAUUUAGGUGGGACUGCAAUUAAAGAACUGUCUUCGUCAAUUAAUAAACUCACGGGUCUUCCUGCUUUGGACCUACGUGGCUGUCAAGAACUCAAGAGCCUGCCGAGGAGCAUUCAUAUGAGAUCUCUUCAAACCCUUAAUCUUUCUGGUUGCUCAAACCUUGAGAAGUUUCCUGAGAUUUCAGAUGUUAUGGAGAAGUUAUCAGAGUUAUAUUUAGGUGGGACUGCAAUUAAAGAACUGUCUUCAUCAAUUAAUAAACUCACGGGCCUUGCUACUUUGGACCUACGAGGCUGUCGAGAACUCAAGAGCCUGCCGAGCAGCAUUCAUAUGGGAUCUCUUCAAACCCUUAAUCUUUCUGGUUGCUCAAACCUUGGGAAGUUUACAGAAAUUUCAGAUGUUAUGGAGAAGCUAUCAGAGUUAUAUUUAGCUGGGACUGCAAUUAAAGAACUGUCUUCGUCAAUUAAUAAACUCACGGGCCUUACUGUUUUGGACCUAUCUGGGUGUCAAGAACUCAAGAGCCUGCCGAGCAGCAUUCAUAUGAGAUCUCUUCAAACCCUUAAUCUUUCUGGUUGCUCAAACCUUGAGAAGUUUCCAGAGAUUUCAGAUGUUAUGGAGAAGCUAUCAGAGUUAUAUUUAGAUGGGACUGCAAUUAAAGAACUGCCUUCGUCAAUUAAUAAACUCACGGGCCUUACUGUUUUGGACCUAUAUGGGUGUCAAGAACUCAAGAGCUUGCCGAGCAGCAUUCGUGUGGGAUCUCUUCAUACCCUUUUUCUUUCAGGCUGCUCAAAACUUGAGAAGUUUCAUGAGAUUUCAGAUGUUGUGGAGGAGCUAUCAGAGCUUCAUUUAGAUGGGACUGCAAUUAAAGAAUUGCCUUCGUCAAUUAAUAAACUCACAGGUCUUCUUACUUUGGACCUACGAGGCUGUCGAGAACUCAAGAGCCUGCCGAGCAGCAUUCAUAUGGGAUCUCUUCAAACUCUUAAUCUUUCUGGUUGCUCAAACCUUGAGAAGUUUACAGAGAUUUCAGAUGUUAUGGAGAAGCUAUCAGAGUUAUAUUUAGCUGGGACUGCAAUUAAAGAACUGUCUUCGUCAAUUAAUAAACUCACGGGCCUUAUUACUUUGGACCUGAAAGGUUGUCGAGAACUCAAGAGCCUGCCGAGCAGCUUUCAUAUGGGAUCUCUUCAAACCCUUAAUCUUUCUGGUUGCUCAAACCUUGAGAAGUUUCCAGAGAUUUCAGAUGUUAUGGAGAAGCUAUCAGAGUUAUAUUUAGAUGGGACUGCAAUUAAAGAACUGCCUUCGUCAAUUAAUAAACUCACGGGCCUUACUGUUUUGGACUUAUAUGGGUGUCAAGAACUCAAGAGCUUGCCGAGCAGCAUUCGUAUGGGAUCUCUUCAUACCCUUUUUCUUUCAGGCUGCUCAAAACUUGAGAAGUUUCCAGAGAUUUCAGAUGUUAUGGAGAAGCUAUCAAAGCUUUAUUUAGAUGGGACUGCAAUUAAAGAACUGCCUUCGUCAAUUAAUCAACUCAGGGGCCUUACUGUUUUGGACCUAUCUGGGUGUCUAGAACUCAAGAGCCUGCCCUGCAGCAUUCAUAUGGGAUCUCUUCAAACCCUUAAUCUUUCUGGUUGCUCAAAAUUUGAGAAGUUUCCAAAUAUUUCAGAUGUUAUGGAGAAGCUAUCACAACUUUAUUUAGGUGGGACUACCAUUAAAGAACUGACUUUGUCAAUUAAUAAACUCACGGGCCUUACUGUUUUGGAUCUAUCUGGGUGUCAAGAACUCAAGAGCCUGCCGAGCAGCAUUCGUAUGGGAUCUCUGCAAACCCUUAUUCUUUCAGGCUGCUCAAAAUUUGAGAGGUUUCCAGAGAUUUCAGGAAUGGAGAUGCUAUCAGAGCUUCAUUUAGAUGGGACUGCAAUCAAAGAACUGCCUUCAUCAAUUAAUAAACUCACGGGCCUUCGUCAUUUAGAUGGAGUCCAAUCACGUGAUUCUUGGGUACCAGGGCAGCAGCAUCGCAUCAGAAGGUGUGGAGUUCGUCUCUUUUAUGCCAAUAGUGAAGAGAUGCAUAACCAAAGCAUGACACAGCCUGACUAUCCAUCAUGAAAAUUCUGAAGCGGAAUUUCGUGCUUUUGGCAGAUCACUGGUAAGAGUUGCUCAUUCUAAGAGGAACCGUGAGGGGUGUUGCUAUAAUGCGGCUGAACAAAGUUGAGGUCAGGCCCGGCCCAGGCGCAGUGCAACAGGGGCAAUUGUCCAGGGCCCAAAGUUGAAUGGGGCACCCAAAAAACAAAAUCCAAAUAAUUAGGUAUAAAAAAAAAUUUGUCCAAAGCCCAAAAUAAAGGCUGUAGGCGAUAACUUGUCCAGGUUUUGGGGAUUAAAAAUCAAUAUAACAUAAAGGGUAUCUGAAGGGGACAAGUCGUCCAGGUUUUGGGCAUGGAGGAGAGGCAUAAGAUUCAAGUUUUUCAAAGGGAGCUCCCUCUCUGCUUGGAGCUUGUCACCCAACUGCCCAAGCCCAAGGUACUACGGAGAACACAAACCCUUCUCAAAUUUCAGCUUAAUUUUUGUGUUCUAAGUCGGAAGCUUCGUUUCUUUUGCUUGAAUUGUUCUGGUUUCUGUUUUCAAAAUUGGGGUUUUUUUUGUAGCUAUUGAGAGGUGCAAGCAGCAGAUUUCAGAUGCAACCGCAAAUUACCUGCAUGGACAAUCUAAGUGUUCUGAGCAGACUUCAAGUGAGGGGCAUGUUUUUGAGGAAUUCAUUCCAUUAACACGGAUUUCAUACAACUCCAGAUGCACCACUCGAAGAGGUAUAAAAAAAAGACUCCACCUUCAUCAAUUUUAGUAAAUUUUGUGACUGCCCUUUUGUUUGGUUGCUUAUAAAAUUUGAGGUGAAGAAGUGGAAAGUAUUGAUUUUUAGGUGUAGGGUAAUGGCAGGAGGAGCAAGUUAAAGGCUAUAGUGAUGGAGAUGAAGAGAAAUGGGGUGCUUUUCAGCCUUUCCAAAGGAAAAAAAAAGCAUUGGAAAGACAAAUGGACCGGUGGCUAAAGAACCUUCUUCGGCUCCGGCUACUAGUUCCACCACGGACACCGUGAGUGGAGACAGUGGUGGGAACAACAAGAACAAAGAGAAAGAUGGACAGGGAAACGAAGGCGAAACUGGUCACCGGAGUUGCACCGCCGGUUCUUGCAUGCUCUUCUCUUCAACAACUUGGUGGUUCACAUGGUAUGCAGUUGAGAUUAAUUUAGUGGGAUAUGUUAUUUUAUAUGAUGAUUGGAUGAAUAUGUGAUUGGAUUGUGAUGUAUUGGAUGUGUUUAAUGCGUUCUGCGUAUAUGUGAUUUUCCAUCUGUUUUUAAUCAUAAUUUGGUUGAUGUGAAAAAUUUUGCACAUACAUGAUAGAAAUUGGAAGGCAUUUUGCAUGCUACUAGUGAUAAUUUUUUUACACAUACAUGUGAUUAAGCUCGCAAAAUAUUUAUUUUAAACAUAUGUUUCUGUACUAAAAAGGGCACAUUUUGAACUUUCGCACUGGGCAUCAAAAAAACUCAGGACCGGCCCUGGUUGAGGUGAAACCCCCGACGUGGAGGAUUUAUAUCCUAAAAGAUUGGUACUUCCUGAUGGGGCAAAGGAAAACUGAAGAGAAUAAUUCCUGUGUGUUGGAUUUGACUGCUCAGUUCUGUUGGGUCUCGACCCUUUCUUACGCGGACCUAAAACCAAACUGUUGUGGCUCUUUAGUUGGCAUGUGCGGAUCACAUGCUAGGUCUUUUUAGCGCUCAUAAUAUAAAGCCUCACAUUGUGCAAUUUGGACGAGAGGUUGAACCGAAGCAGCUGCACUAGUAUGACGGGAAGAGGAGCCGAAACCCAAUAGAAGAGAGAAAUAAUUCGGAGCUGCUGCAUUUUUAUUUUUUUUUGGUAAGAGUGAAACCAGUUAGAGAUUGUUGUAGUUGCAGAGAGACAAAUAUUUUGUUUCUAAUUCGUUUAUUCGCUCAUCUAUUUGUGUGUAUUUGAGUGUAUUUUGGGUUUGAGUUUGAGAGCUUUCUUUGUAAUCUCGUUUUGUUUAUUAGUGGAACUUCCUCACUGUCCUUAAACUGGAUGUAGGUUUAUGCCGAACCAGUAUAAAUCUUUGUGUCAUUUUGAAUUGUUUGGUUUUUCAUAUUUUUUCGUAUUAGUUUAUUGGUUUCAAAUUAGCGCUUCCACACAACACUCUAAACCCAGUGAAGGUGGAGAGGAGCUUCUUGUAUUUGGAAGUGCCAAUCAGAUAAUUUGUCAUCCAAUUUGACAUUGUCAGGAAGUGGAGUGGAGAUUGUUGUAAUGUUAAUUCAACAUUAGAACAAGAGAAAUAGCUCGAUGUGCUGAAAUUGAAGAAUUCAGUUGCAAACAACACAUUUAUGUUGCUCAUCAGAACAAGAUAAAUUAGAAUAAUUAAGUUUUUAAUUGCCCAAUUAUUCCAUCCCAUAUGAAUUUAGAAUCUGGAGGACGUGUUUCUGCUUUGUUUUCAAAUGUCCUAAGCACUUUGUAGAGCUGUGGCAACUUUGCAGCCACAAGACAUCAAUACCAAUUACCAAGUACCCUUAAUUACUCUUCCAAAUGUCUCAUAUACUCUUCGUGUUGACGCGAACGAGAGAAUUUUCAAUGUGCUUGGCACACGGCUUGGUACAUCAAGUUUUAUAAUAUAAUUAGCUGGAAAUUUGAAAUAUUUUUUUAAUGAAUUGUAUCAUGACUCAUGGUGUUCGAGUAAUGUGCCGGCCACACAAAAAAAAUUCUUGACAUGAACACAAUCAAAGGCAUUGCUGUUAGUUACUCAUAAGAAUACAAAGGUUACAUGAAAGAAAAAGAUUAGACUUCUCAUUCCACGUUCAACUUAAAUGAAUUGCACACGAGUUACUUAGUUACACAAUUAUGUAAACGUACUAAAGUGUGCACAGCUUUCGGAUUAGGUGGGUUGGAUGUAGACACAAACUCUUAUUAACCAUUUUAAAUGGGUCAACACGAUUAUGCCCGACUCAAACAAAUUUAUUUUUUGUCUUUUCCAAGUCGAAUUGUCGAAUAUGUCUAAAAUUGUUACCUCUACUCUUUCUUGGCACUUUCUACCUAAAUUCGAGCAAAAACAAUGAAAGUUACAUCCGAACAAAAAUACAAUAAAAGAUACAUCAUCCAACAACUUUCAUAUUUUUAAUAGAAAAACACGCAUGUAAGUGGCCUUUACAAUGGUAGAGAAAAGUACUACGGUGGGAGCUAGCACCAUGGAUAGAGAUUUUCCAGCCACUGUGAAGCUCGGAAAUGGCAGGACUAUUACCGGGGUUUCGCUCUACAGGGGAAGGAUGAUGCUGUCAACAAACAAGCAAUACCCUGUUGUGUAUUUGGGAAGCAAUUCAACUAGUCCUAAUCCGAGCUCGCUGUGUUUGGAGGGGACGUUGGAUCGCCGAGUUGUGGCCGGAAAGAUUGUGAUUUGCGACCGUGGGAUUAGUCCUAGAGUGCAGAAGGGAGAGGUGGUGAAAGAAGCCGGAGGAGUUGGGAUGAUCUUGGCAAACACAGCUGCAAACGGAGAGGAGCUUGUGGCGGAUUGCCACCUUGUUCCGGCGGUUCCUGUGGGAGAGAACGAAGCAAAGGGAAUCAAGCAUUAUGCUUCAACAAGCCCGAGAGCCACCGCAACUCUAACAUUUCUUGGAACUAGAGUUGGGGUUAGACCGUCGCCUGUGGUGGCAGCGUUUUCAUCCAGAGGGCCAAAUCUGGUAAGCCUUGAGAUUCUCAAGCCGGAUAUGGUGGCACCAGGAGUGAACAUCCUCGCCGCUUGGACAGGCGCAUUAGGCCCGUCCAGCUUGCCAGCAGAUCGUAGAAGGGUGAAGUUCAAUAUACUGUCCGGGACUUCAAUGUCCUGCCCCCAUGUGAGCGGCAUUGCCGCUCUGCUCAAGGCAAGGCACCCGGAUUGGAGUCCGGCGGCAAUAAAGUCCGCCUUGAUGACAACCGCUUAUGUCCACGACAACACGCGAAAGCCUCUACAAGACUCCUCAGCAGCUUCAAUUUCAACCCCGUACGAUCACGGUGCAGGGCACAUAAACCCGGGGAGGGCUCUUGACCCGGGAUUGAUUUACGACAUUGAGGCGCAUGACUAUCUUGAAUUCCUCUGCACACAAAGGCUAACACCAACACAGCUCAAAGUUUUUACCAAGUACUCAAACAGAAGUUGCAAGAACAAUCUAGCCAGUCCCGGGGACUUGAACUAUCCGGCACUCUCGGUUGUGUUCCCGGAGAGAACAAAUGUUUCUGUUUUGACACUUCACAGAACUGUCACUAACGUUGGCCCUGCGGUUUCGAAUUACCACGCCAUUGUUUCACCGUUCAAAGGUGCUUAUGUGAAAGUCGAGCCUCGGACGCUGAAAUUCACCAAAGCCAAUCAGAAGCUGUCAUACAAAAUCAUCUUCACUACGAAAUCCCGGCAGGCAGUCCCGGAGUUCGGCGGGUUGGUGUGGAAGGAUGGAGUGCACAGGGUGAGAAGCCCCAUUGUUGUAGUGUGGCUGCCACCACUAUAAAUCCUGCACCGGAUUAAUUUUAAUGUGUGUUUUUAUUAAUGCUCUUUUGAAUAAACAAAUUUUCUGUAAUAGUUAGCAUCCUUCCUCUGCUUCUUGCUGUGAUCUUCUAGCUACUGUCAACCUUAGAACACAAGCGAAACAACGAUGUGUAGUGAAAACGUAGAUUACGCAAGUUCAAAUCACAUUGAUGUUGUUAAUUAGAAGAUUCAGAACUAGAUUAGAAUAAUUUCUUAAUUUGCUCAAUUUCUAUAUUGAUUCACAUGUUUCUGCACUAUUUUCAUGUCACGACUCACAAGCAUUUGGUAGGAGUUCUGGUAGUUUUUGCGAGAAUGACAAUUUCAGACAUGCACGAAACAAAACAAAUUUAAACACGACACGUUAUAGGACAUGAGAUUCACGAUAUUUGUAGCCGCAUAAAUAUGAAGAUUUUAUGGUAGGUUAUACCUUACCAAAAUUUCAACUUGUCCAAAGGAUUAAGUGCACUUGAUAUUCGAGAUGUCUCACUAAUUGUGUGAAUAUUUCAAUUCGAAUAUGUCUCCAGUUAUACUCAAGUUUUUCUCCGAACUGUUUGAGUACAAUUUGGAUCAAAUUCAAUACCGUCAUGAACAGCUUACAAACUAAACUCAAGAAAUGGGAUUACCAAUUUACCAGCAUUAACCUUUUUGUUUCUUUUGACGAAAAAAAAAAAAAUUUAAUGCUGGCGGGACGUGGGCCUAUUUGGACUCAUUCUGAUGGGCCUUCUAAAAAUUUAAAACCAAGCUAGUCCAAUUCGUAUUUGAAUUUCCCAAUACGUUGAAGAAUUAUUUUAGGAUGAUGUUAUCCAAACACUCAUUUCUUCCUUUCAUACACUUCUUUUGAUUUUAGGCAAUCGAAUCAAAUAAAUUGAAGAAGAUCAAAUGACAAAAUUAAUAAAAAUAUGUGAGAGGUAAAAAAUAUGUGUAAAUAGCACUACCCUUAUUUUAUUACUAGCUUCUUUCUUUUGCAUUUGAUUUUUUUUGGAUACUUUAUUCUUUCUUUUUUUAAAUUGGCUUAAUUUUAUAUUUAGAAUAAAUUCAACAAAAAAAAAACUAUUAACUUCUCAAUAAGAAGCGGUUAUUUCUUUUUAAUUUUUUAAUUACUAAAUUGUUAUUUAAAAUUUACUAGAAUAUGCUACGUACAAACUGUCACUUGUUGUGGUCUAUUUUUAUCUGACAGAGAGACUAAGGCCGUCGGCAGAGAAAGAGAGGAGAGAUGUGUGUUUGUAGAAUUGUAGGGGAAUGUAUGUGUUGUUAUCCCUCCUACAUUGUGCCUUUAUUUAUAGUAGUAAAUGGAGAGAAGAUAUUCCUUCUCCUCCAAGUAAUACAAGUUGUAAUAGGAAAGGAUAACUAGAAUCAAAUCUAAUAUAGGAUUUACACAAUCAUACUUAUUCUAGGAAUGUUUACAACACUCCCCCUUGAGUGUGCAAAUACUUAAGGUAGAUUCAGCAUCAUGCAAAAGUUGAGAAAGUCGACUCGUCGACAUUGAUUCAAAGGAACAACGCUUAUUCUCAAUAAGGUAGGAACUUGCAUAAGUAGUAAGUGUCACUAAAAAAACCCUAAGGCUAUGGCAAAAACCCGAGUAGGGACAAAAUUCAUAGUCUAAGGAAAAAUGCGUGAGAAAUGCAAAGUCAAAAGAAAUGUCUACAGGACGUCAUCAGGGAUAUGACCAGCCCAAGGUGGGUGCCUCGUUAAAACCUAGUUAGGUAGCAAAAACCCAGUGGGAAAAAUGCUUCUAAUCGUAGGGAAAAAGAGUACAUUAAGAUCAAGCAAGUAUCCAGAAGAUACUCCCCCUAAGUUUGACAUAAUUCCAAAGAGAAAUAGCAAAGUUACAACUCAGAAAGUUUAUGCAUACCAAUUCCAUGAGCAAGCUUCUGAAACGUCGCCUUCGGUAGUGAUUUGGUGAAGAGGUCGGCCAGAUUGUCUUGUGAUCGGAUUUGCAUGACUUCAAUCUUCUGAUGUUCUUGUUGUUGAUGUGUAAAAGAAGAACUUCGGCGCAAUAUGCUUGGUGUUGUCUCCUUUGAUGUAACCCUUCUUGAGCUGUUCGAUGCAAGCUGCGUUGUCUUCAAAAAUCGUCAUCGCGGCAUUAACGGCAUGAUGAAGAUCACAGGAGCUUCGAAUAUGACCCACUACUACUCUCAACCAAAAGCAUUCCCGAGUUGCUUCAUGUAAGGCGAGAAUUUCAGCAUGGUUAGACGAAGUGGCAACUAAGGUCUGUUUAGUUGACCUCCAAGAUAUUGUGGUGCCUCCAACGGUAAAGACAUAACCCGUUUGAGAACGCGUCUUGUGGAUCAGAUAAGUAUCCAGCGUCGGCAUAACCAACAAGGCGAGAAUCAACCCGACGAGCAUAGGGUGCGGCAUCACUCGAGGAUUCGUAGGGAUAGAAUAAGCCCAAAUCCGUAGUACCCUUAAGGUAACGGAAGAUGUCUUUCACGCCAGUCCAAUGUCUGCGUGUUGGUGCAUUAAUGUAUCUUGCCAAAAGAUUAACAGCGAAGGAGAUGUCGGGUCUAGUGCAUUGAGUUAAGUACAAUAAAGCGCUUAUCGCACUUAGAUAAGGAACUUCAGGUUCUAGAAUCUCUUCAUCAUCCUCCUUCGGACGGAAGGGAUCUCGCUUUGCAUCUAGCGUACGAACGACCAUAGGAGUACUCGAAGACUUCGCUUUAUCCUCAUUAAAACGGCGCAACACCUUUUGGGUGUAGUUCGAUUGAUGUACUAAGAUUUCAUCCGAACAAUGCUCUAUCUCGAGACCGAGACAGUAUCGAGUCUUACCUAGAUCUUUCAUCUCAAAUUCCGAGUUCAGGUGCGAAGCAGUUCUCGCUAGCUCUUCAGGAGUUCCGAUGAGAUUCAUGUCAUCGACAUAUACUGCAACAAUCGCAAAUCCGGAAUGUGACUUCUUAAUGAACACACAAGGGCAUAGUUCGUUGUUCACAUAUCCCUGACUAGUCAAAUACUCACUCAAACGGUUAUACCACAUUCUUCCGGAUUGUUUCAAACCGUAUAGUGAACGCCUCAGCCGAAUUGAGAGCGUGUUCCGGGGUUUGGACAUAUUUGAACCAGUCAAUGUAAGUCAUUCGGGAACUUUCAUAUAAAUUUCCGUAUCAAGAUCCCCAUAGAGAUACGCGGUUACUACGUCCAUCAGCUGCAUAUCCAGUUUUUCGGAAACUACCAAACUGAUAAGGUAUCGAAAAGUAAUCACAUCCAUAACGGGUGAGUAAGUUUCGUCAUAGUCAAUCCCGGGGCGUUGUGAGAAACCUUGUGCUACUAAUAAGUCUCAUUUUGCAUGCAUUUAUAUCUACCUUAUUGGGCGUCUUUGUGAUGUUUUUUUUAUUAAGCUAGUUGCAUUUUACAUUAUUUGGUGUUAGUGUGUAGCCAAGUGUGUAUUUGGAUCAAUGGGAAGGCAAAUGAAGUAAAAACAUUCCUUUUGGUAGCUGAGCAUUAUUCCAAAUGUGGAGAGGAUUCUAGGGAGUUAAUUUGAAGUCCAAAUGAAGAAUCUAGGAAACAUUUGGCUGCUGGAAUUUCAGGAAAGGAUGUGGAAGUGUUAAGUGGUGAAAUUCGGCCAUAUUGGGUGAUUCUAAACAAGGCAAAAACAUUGAAGUCAGAUUAUGUGGUUCUAACACCAAAACAUGCAUUCACAUGCAUGUUCACAACCUGGCCGUGCAUUCCAUUACCUUUCCAGCUCCCUUUUGCACCAAGAACAUGCACUUCCAUUACUUAAUUCACAUUAUGCCAUCCCAGCUCCCUCAUGCCCAUGCCGUGCACUGUCAUACCUUUUCCAGAUUUGUACAACCAAUUCCAGGUUGUCCAUUUCAGCUUUGCAGCCAAUACACAUGCAUGUUCAAUUAAAAUAGCUAUAUGCAUGCAUAUACACCUUGUGCCGUGCAUCCACCACCUCAGAAACUCACUCAUUCCAGCUCAUUUAUGCACUUCCAUCUCACAUGUGCAAUUCCAGCUCCAUUCUUAAUGAUGGCAGUGACAUUUCCCUUCUAUAAAAACCGUGCAAACUCACUUCUUUUGGGGGUUCUUCCAUUAUUUUGGGGGAUGAUUCACACAUUCUAAGCCGCUCCAUCUCUGUCCAUUUACUCUCCCAUUUGCAGAGAACAUCCAACCUUAAGCCGAUCCAUUUCCGUUUCAUCACACUUGGAGAAUCAACACCGAAGGCCACUCUUAAAGGAUUUCAGCAUCAGUUUUGCUUCAAGGGUUUCUUUUUAUUAAUUCUAUGUUCACUCAUGUUAUUUAUUAUUAUGUCCAACCUUUUGUAAACAUGAAGUGUAACUAAUCUCUCUCUAGGGAUUCGAUGUAGCCUUGCAAGAUUGCUAUGUAGUUAAUUCAGAAUUCCCAGUUAGUCUAUCUAUUUCUUGUUUCAUUCUCUGGUUUAAUUGUGACUUAGUGAGUUGAUUUUAAUGCUUGAUCAUCAUUUGAGUUAACCAUAGGUUGUUUAGCCAAGAUUAAAGCACACAUCAUGCAUAAUCUUGGUGGAUAUGUGAAUGAAUGAAGGGAAUGUUUUGCAAACAUCCUGCCGAGUGCUCCCUUGGGUUUUAUGAAAGUUUCUUGUGCAUUACAUGUUCUUGAUUAGGAACCAAAGUUGCACAUCACAAUUAGGUUCAUGAUUAGAGACAUUUGAUCAAAUCCACACAUCAUAUGGUUGAUCAUAUCCAUGUGAAACAAACUCAAGAAAUAGGUAGAUGACUGAGUAUAAACUGAUUUAACAAACAUGGCCUUAGGUUAGCAAUGGUAAAAUCGAAUCCCUAGCUUCAUUUCCAUUGGUACUAUUCCAUUCUAUUAGUUGUUGAUUCAUUUAUUUGUGUUCACUUCAUUUUCUUAUGUUUUUAAGUUACAACUACAAAAUCUGCCUACAUUGAUUAGUUUUAUUUCUCUAAUAGGAGCUUUUGCAAAACAAGUGGUUAUAUAAGAUCAAUUAGUCUCUGUGGAUUCGACACCCUUACUUGUGCCAUUAUACUAAACAUAUUCUAGCCCUAGCAAGGAAUAAAACAUCAACAGCUACAAGAUGAGCUUUGUAACGCACAAUUUCAUUCUUCUCAUUACGCUUCCGAACGAAAACCCACUUGGUACGUAUGACCAACGAUCGAGCAAUCAUUUGUAAACGCUUAAUGAAAGCCUCUGCCAGGCCGUUCUGGGUGUGAACAUGGGGUACAUGAUGUUCAACUUCAACCCCAACCGACAUGCAAUAGUCAUCAAAAGUUUUAGAUGUGAAUUCUCCAGCAUUAUCUAAUCGAAUAGAUUUGAUCAGAUAAUCAGGGUGGUGAGCCUUGAGCUUGAUAACCUGAGCCAACAGUUUAGAGAAUGCAGCGUUCAUUGUGGACAAUAAGCACACGUGUGACCAACGUGUAGAAGCGUCAACCAAAACCAUAAAAUAUCUAAAUGGUCCGCAGGGAGGUUGAAUCGGUCCACAAAUGUCCUCCUGAAUCCGUUGUAGAAAAAUGGAAGGAUUCGAACAAAUCUUGUCAUAAGAAGGCUUAGUAAUAAGCUUUCCCAUAGAACAUGUUUGACAUGCAAUUUCAUGGAUCGAACCUAAGCUUCGGGUUAGUGGAUGCCCGUGUGAAGUUUUGAGGAUACGGCGCAUCGCUAUUCGUCCAGGAUGUCCCAAACGAUCAUGCCAAAGUGUAAUUUCGUGCGCGGUCCCUGUGGUAGGGCCGGCCACAUAAUGGCAUUCUAUGGGGCAUAUGGUCGUAGUAUACAGACCACUCGGGUUACGCUCCAUCUUCUCUAGAAUACGCUUCUGGCCAUAUUCGUAGGAAGUUACGCACAGAAAUUCAACUCCGUUUUCUACGUGGGUUUCAGCGUGGUAAUGGUUAUCUCUAAUGUCCUUGAAACUUAGUAACGUUCUUCCGGAACGUGGAGAAUAGAGUGCCUCAGCAAUGGUCAAGAUUGUACCAUUGGACAACAUUAUACGUGCCUUACCGUAUCCUUCAAUCAGGUUGGAUGGGCCUGAGAGGGUUGUCAGAGGUGCAUUCUUAGGUACGAAGUUAGUGAAAUAGAUGCGUUCACGCAAAACAGUAUGUGUGGUUGCACUAUCUGCCAGACAACUAACUUUCCCACUAGUCAUACCUAGAAUGAAAAAUUAAUUUGAAUCGGUCACAUGCAUAAAAGUUUAUAAAAACAAGUAUCAAUUCAAAAUAAUUUCAUUUAUUAAAAAAAAACCUUAAUAUCCAAAAUAAAAACCGCCAACUAAUAAUCCAAAACAUAAAGGAAAAUUGUUCAAAAUCAACCAAAAAAACAAGUUGGGGUUCGGCCACUAGGUGGAAUUCGGCCCCAAUUGUCUUAUUUUAACUGAAAAAAUAAGUCUAUGUCUAAGAUUCUAAUCUUCCAUAGGAGUGGUAUCCUCCUGAAAGUCAGAAACCUCCAUCUUUGUAGUCUCCGGUGCGUCCACUUGCAUGAAGUUUGAUUCAAACUUCUUACGACGAGAAUGAUAUUCAUCUACAACCUUCUUGGGAGCACGGCAAACACGGGACCAAUGGUCCUUUGAACCACAACGAUAGCAUAUAUCGUCAUUCAUUGUGGAAGGUGCUUUGCCCUUAUUCUUGAAGUUCGGGCCCUUAGGAGCGAGGUUUGGGCGCUUCGGGGCUUUGUUUCCUCCCAGAGACCUCCAAAGCGGUGAAGUCGAGUUUGUUCAAAUUCGACAUGUUCCUAUCACAAAAUAGAUGGACAAGAUGUGGUUAGUGUAAUGGAGAAAAAUCAAUCCAUUCACAUAGGAGUAGAACAUACAGGUUCUAAUAGACAUGUAUUGGUUUAAUUUCGCAUGAAAAACUUCGGGUUUCAUGGGUGAUAUGUUUAAGUGAAAACUUCAGGUUUUCAAAUAAGGCAUGUUUAUAAGAAACUUCGGGUUUCAAAGUAAUUAUGAACUAAAGGUUCAUAUAUUCCUGCAGGCAAACACAAAUAUAUAUGCAAACAAAUAUGCAACAAAUAUUGUAUGCAAAAAUAUUGUAUAAUGAUAAUUGAAUGAAUGUUAUUUUGGUCUUCGAGGCCAAAUUAAAGUGUGGGUGAAAAUAUAAAAACCCAUAUUAUUUAAAAAAAAUAUAUAUUAAAUAAUAAAAUCUCGGGGCCUAAAAAUAUAGGCCGAGAACCCUCGGGUGGGGCUACAGGCCCACGGGGAGAGCAGGGGGUUGGGCUGCUGCGGGCAGACCCCCCAAAACAUAUUUUUUUCACAAAGGGCUGCAUCAAGCAGGCCCAAAAGAAAACUAAAAAAAUCUUUUUUUUUUCUUCAGACUGGGCCGCUGAAAGCGAGCCCAGAAACAAACAAAAUUUGUGUUUUUUUUUCGCGCGGGCCGCUUUAGGCUGGCCCAAAAAAAAAUCUCUUUUUUUUCGUACGGGCCAAGAGGCUGGAGCCUACUAGGGCUCGGGUUGCAGGUAGCAGACACCCCAGCGACGCUGGGUGUGCUUGGCCGAGGAAAAAGGCCGGAAAAACUAGGACGACGCCACUGCAGGUGGUUGUCCUUGGUGUGUGCAAGCCAUGGUUCGUCGGAGAACCAAGUAUCUAUCGACGGAGAUGAAAUGUCGACAUGAUAUCAAAACCCUACAAAUUGAAAUCGAAUUUUCAAAAAAUUAUGACGAGAUUCCGUUGAAUCUCAGUUCAAUUGUCGACAUGGGACGACUUCAGGUCGUCGAGAAUAUGAACCAAAGGUUCAAGGCUGUGGCUGCAGGCCAUGCCAUGGUCGGGGGACACCAGGAAGGGUGUCAGGAUUUUGGGUUGGGGGUUUGGCUUUGUGGGUUUUUUCUGGGAACAAGGAGAGCUGCAUGCUCUCUGCUUGCGUGGAGACCCCAUCUGCAGGAUGGUGGUCACGGGUUCUAAAGAACCGAGGUCCCAAUCGCAAAAAAAAAAUGUUUUUUUUUUCAAUUCAAUUAUAUUAUAUGCAUGUAUAAUUUUAAUGAAUCACAUAUUUACGUUGAUGCAUAUGCAAAUAAUAGUUUCAAUGCAUGUACAUAUGUAAGAUUCAAUUCAUGACAAAUAUCAAAUUCACAUAAUUGUAGCAAUUUUGGUUAUGAAGCAUACACAAUUUAUGUAGAAUCUAAAAUACGUAAAACGUAAAGUUGGGUCAUGCAUCAUGGUGAAUGUUCAUGCUAUCAGGGCUUACAAAAUAUCGAGUUAAAAACCGUUGUUUGGAAAGAACCUGAUUGCGUGAUGAUAUGGAUGAACUGGUUUGAUGCAGAAAAAAAAUCUCCAACGUCAGAUUCCUAAGCGCAGCGGUAGGAGCGUGCUGAUAACGUGUUGUGGUCUAUUUUUAUCUGACAGAGAGACUAGGGCCGGCGGCAGAGAAAGAGAGGAGAGAUGUGUGUUUGUAGAAUUGUAGGGGAAUGUAUAUGUUGUUAUCCCUCCUACAUUGUGCCUUUAUUUAUAGUAGUAAAGGGAGAGAAUAUAUUCCUUCUCCUCCAAGUAAUACAAGUUGUAAUAGGAAAUGAUAACUAAAAUCAAAUCUAAUCUAGGAUUUACACAAUCAUACUUAUUCUAGGAAUGUUUACAACAUCACUUAAUUUUUUGUUUUGUUUUUAAAGUUAAAGCAGAGCAGCAAGAGAGUGAGAGAUAACGUAAGAGUGAGGAGAGAGAGUAUUAUUUUUUUAUUUUUUAAAAUAGAUAUGUUAAAAUUACCUAUAAGUGGGGUUUGAAUUAAAAAUAACAAAAUUUUGUUUUGUAAAAUUACGUUAUUGCCUUUAACGUUUUUAUUGUAAUAAUAAUUUUUUCAUCUUCUUUUAAUUGACAAAGAUAAUUCUAUUAAUAUGUAGUUUAGUUAAGAUAAACAAAAAACCUUUUUGGCAUAAGUGAUGUUCCAACAAAGUUUAUUAUUAUUUUUCUUUUUUUUCUUUCCGUUUUUCUUCUUAUUUUUUUUGCUAAUUUUCCUGGUUCGUUUAAUUUUUUUUACAAAAAUACCCUGUGACACCUUGUGACUUUAAAGUAAAGUUCUGGCUUCCUAAUGACAAAAAUAACUUUUUUAACAAACGAUAUUAUUUGUACUAAGAGAAAGGGUGAGCUAAGCCUUACAAUGACCUAGCAAUAAUGUGGUUCAAAUUCACCUUUAGCGAUAAUUGAAACUAAAAAUUAGAAGUGAAAAUGAAUACUAUUAGACCAGAAUAUUAAGUGGUAACAGUGAAGAUAAAUUAGUAAUAUUAUUAUUUUUAUGUACAAACCUAGUAGAAAGAAACUCAUUAACUUCCCGAACAUUUUUCAGAGUAUUCUCUCUUUCCAAUUUUAUAGAAUUACAUUUUUUUUUUUGAGAUGGUGCUAGGAAACCACCUAGUAAAAAGAAACUUAUUUUCGUUGACUCAUUUGACUCUCCGACGAUUUUACAGAGUUUUUUUCUUUCAAAUUUUAUAGAAUUAUAUAUUUUUAAUAAUGUUAAGGAAAUCAAAAUUUUAAAUCAAAUUUACAAGUUAAAUAAUAUUUCACCAAUUAAAAACAUCACGUUAAUCGACAUUCAAUGAAUAAUCUAAUCUCUACUAAUUAAUAAAACUUUUUUUGUCAACCAAAAGAGGGUGAAAAGACAAAUUUGUCACAUCCUGGCCCGGGUCCACCACUUUCCGGGCCCGUUCCACCAUCGUAGUACGAUAUUGUCUGCUCUGGGCUUACCAUUCCCUCACGGUUUUGUUUUUGGGAACUCACGAGCAACUUUCUAGUGGGUCAUCCAUCCUGAGAGUGCUCUGACCUCCUUCUCGCUUAACUUCAGAGUUCCUAUGGAAACCGAAGCUAGUGAGCUCCCAAAAAGCCUCGUGCUAGGUAGAGAUGAGAAUAUACAUUUAAAGAUCACUCCCCUGGGCGAUGUGGGAUGUUACAAUCGACCCCCUUAGGGGCCUGACGUCCUCGUUGACACACUUCCGGCCAGAGAUUGGCUCUGAAACCAUUUGUCACAUCCCGGCCCGGGUCCACCACUUCACGGACCCGUUCCACCACCGUAGCAUGAUAUUGUCCGCUUUGGGCUUACCAUUCCCUCACGAUUUUGUUUUUGGAAACUCACGAGCAACUUCCCAGUGGGUCACCCAUCCUGGGAGUGCUCUAGCCUCCUUCUCGCUUAAUUUCAGAGUUCAUACGGAACUCGAAGCCAGUGAGCUCCCAAAAGGUCUCAUGCUAGGUAGGGAUGAGAAUAUACAUUUAAGAAUCACUCUCCUGGGCGAAGUGGGAUAUUACAAAUUAGUCUUCUAUCACAAAAAAAAAAUGAUGGUCAAUAAUGUAAUUUCACAAGUCCAAAUUUUACUUUUUUUUAUUGAAGUUUCACCUACGAAUGAUGUUAAAAUACCUCUAAUAUUUAUAUAAAAAAAACCAAAAAAAAAAAAACCUCCCACUCCUCCACGUUCUCUCUCUCUCUUCCUCUUUCUCCUUCUCAUUUUCUAAAAAAAAAUGUGUUCAAAUACACAAAAUGUGUAGGCAAAUACUAGCCAUCUAUAACUACAACUUAAUUUAUAAAUUUAACUUAAAAAAUUUAGUUUUCUUAAAAUUACAUUUUUUUUUUGUUGUUUUAAUAUUUCAUUAAAACAAACAAAAAAAUCACAACGGAAACGAAACAAGCCCCCAAAAACAGAGAUUAGGCCCAAACAGAAACAAAGCUCAAAGAAGAAGAAAACCCUAGCAGCAGAGAAACUGUUGAAGUCGUCGUCCCCAUCGCCGCACUGCUGAGCCAAACGGAUGAACGGCCGCAGGGAUCCAGAAGAAGAUAAGGUCAAGCAAAAAACCUCCCAACACAGAACCUCCAACAGAUGCACGAGAUAAACCAAAAGACAGCCCAAAAAGUGCAGGACACGAAUGCUCCAUCAUCCUCCACGAACCCAACAUCGCCGCACCGGUGAGCCAAACAGAAUCAUAUCUUUGGGUACAAUUUUUCCAGCCAAUCGUUUAACUCCCAACUCCAAAAGCUGACGCUCAAUCGGCCAUUUCAGCUUUUACGUUGCAUUAGGCGAGUCGGUAGCUGACCAUCUGCUGUGGAUAUUGUCCCUGUCAGAUGUCAAUGGCUGCUCCUUCCUCUUCCUCAUUGAAAUACAACGUCUUCCUGAAUUUCAGAGGCGUAGACACUCGCAAGAUCUUCGUCGGCCAUCUCUACAGAGCUCUGGAUCAGAAAUUAAUCACCUUCAUCGACGCCGAAGAGAUCAGAAAAGGCGACGAUCUUUUGCAGCUCCUCUCAGCUAUCGAAGAGUCGAGGAUUUCGAUCGUGGUUUUCUCCCAGAACUACGCUUCUUCGACGUGGUGCUUGAAAGAACUGGUCAAAAUCCUGGCGUGCAUGGACGCAAAGAAGCAGAUAGUGGUGCCGAUUUUCUACGAAGUUGAUCCAUCUGAAGUUCGUAAGCAAAAGAAAAUUUUUGCAGAAGCUUUUGCUCAACACGAACGCGAAUCGAACGCCGACAUGGAAGAGGUGGAGAGCUGGAGGUCCGCGGUAACCAGAGCUGCCAAUUUAUCCGGCUGGGAUUCGCGAAAAUACGAGUAAUUACUGUUCGAUUAUAUUCUUAAUUACUUAUGAAUUGAGAUUUUUAUAGCAUUUAGUUUAAUUCGGUGCUGUUUUUCGUAUUACACAGGGAUGAUGCCAAGCUUAUUGAGGAAAUUGUGGAUGACAUAUAUAAGAGAUAUAUCCAAGUCUCGCCAAGCAAAGAUAAUGGCUUGGUUGGAAUGGAUUACCACAUAGAUGCAGUGAAUUCACUAUUACGUCCUGGGGUGGAUGAUGUUUUCACUGUUGGAAUAUGGGGUAUGGGAGGUAUAGGCAAAACCACCAUCGCUCGCGCUGUUUAUGAUGGAAUCGCAUGUCAAUUUGAAGCUUGCUGCUUUCUCGAAAAUGUCAAGGAAGGCUUCUCGAAGAAUGGUGCAGUACAUAUGCAAGAAAUGCUUCUUUCUAGAAUCUUGAAGCAGGAAAAGGUGCAGAGUUUAGGCACGUUGGAAAGGCUACAAAGGCUACAAAGGAAAAAAGUUUUCAUUGUUCUUGAUGACGUUGAUGAAUUAUCCCAAAUCGAAGCCUUACUUGGAAAGCAGCAUUCAUUUGGUGGUGGAAGUCGGGUCAUUAUAACAACUAGAGAUAAACAAUUAUUAAGUGGAGCUGGUGCUGUAUAUAAGCCCGAGAACUUAAGUGAGCCAGAAGCUCUUAAACUCUUCUACCAGUAUGCCUUCAGAACAAUCCAACCCACCCGAAAUUAUGGUCAGCUCUCAAGGCGUGCCAUACAAUAUGCCCAAGGUCUGCCUUUAGCACUCAAAGUGUUGGGAGCUUUUCUUGAUAACAAAACUGUGCCCGAGUGGGAAGAUGAGUUGGAAAAAAUAAGGAAAAUCCCGCAAAAGGGAAUUCAUAAUGUGCUUAAAACGAGCUUUGAUGGACUAGAUGAGUCAGACAAGGACAUCUUUCUAGAUAUUGCAUGUUUCUUGAAAGGAAUGGAUAUAGACAGUGCAAAAAAAAGUCUGGACAGUUGUGGCUUAUAUCCCCAUCGUGGAAUAAGAGUUCUAAUCGACCGAGCUCUCAUAUCUGUGUCAAAGUGGGGGGAACUGGUGAUGCAUGAUUUACUAGAGGAAAUGGGUCGGGAAAUCGUUCGCCAAGAAUGUAUCAAAGAGCCUGGGAGAAGAAGUAGGUUGUGGAGUUAUGAAGAUGUUCGUCAUGUGCUGACUCAAAAAACAGUGAGAUAUCUUUCUCUUAUGCAAUGUUUCGUAGAAAGCUUCAGCUUUCGACGAAAAUCUAUUUUAUAGCAAACAUGCAUUGUUUAUAAUAUUCAAUAAGGUUCUUUGUGUUUUCCUUCACUUUAAUUUACAUUGUUGGUUUAUCCAGGCUACAGAAGCAAUUGAAGGCAUAAUCCUGGAUUCAGCAAUCUUUAAAGAGAGAUGCUCAAAUACUGAAGCAUUUGUUAGUAUGACAAAACUAAGACUGCUCAUGAUACGUGAUGGUUACUUUGACGAAUAUGGGUUUGUAUCCGAGGAUUCAUUUGACAGUCAAACUUCAACUGAAGCAGAAGAUGAGCUUGCAUUCGGGGAUUCAUUUGACAAUCGAGCUCCACAUGAUUGCUUCAUAAAACACUGGAUUGCGGACUUAAAGUUCCAAAGUUCUCAGUUGAGGUGUCUCAUCUGGCGUGGUUGCCCCCUCAAGUCUUGGCCAUCCAACUUCCAGUUCAAGAAUCUUGUAAACCUUGACAUGAGCAAUAGUCGCAUCGAACAACUUUGGACAGGAGCUGAGGUACGAUUUUUCAUUUACGUAAAUAUAUUUAUUUUCAAUGUUUAGGUUCUGAGAUGUGUUGUGCAUGUUUUCCUGUACUUUUUAACAGCCUCUGGAAAAGUUGAAAUUCAUCAAUUUAAGUUAUUGUGAAAGCCUUAAGAAAACCCCCGACUUCACAAAGGCUACAAGUCUUAAGGAACUAAAUCUCAAAGGUUGUACAGAGUUAUAUGAGGUUGACCCAUCCAUUUCAGCUCUGAAAAACCUUGCUAUAUUGAAUCUAGGAGACUGUGAAAAUCUUAAGAGCCUUCCGGGCAUCAUUCGUAUGGGAUCUCUUCAAACCCUUGAUCUUUCUGGUUGCUCAAACCUUGAGAAGUUUCCUGAGAUUUCGGAAGUUAUGGAGGAGCUGUCAGAGCUUUAUUUAGUUGGGACUGCAAUUAAAGAACUGCCUUCUUCAAUUAAUAA
rnacentral:lncRNA from 1 species